rnacentral:rRNA from 1 species
CCCACGGGCAUUGCAUCAGUACGGCGAGUGAAGCGGCAAGAGCUCAAAUUUGAAAGCUGGCUCCUUCGGAGUCCGCAUUGUAAUUUGCAGAGGAUGCUUUGGGUGCGGCCCCCGUCUAAGUGCCCUGGAACGGGCCGUCAGAGAGGGUGAGAAUCCCGUCUUGGGCGGGGUGUCCGUGCCCGUGUAAAGCUCCUUCGACGAGUCGAGUUGUUUGGGAAUGCAGCUCUAAAUGGGUGGUAAAUUUCAUCUAAAGCUAAAUACUGGCCGGAGACCGAUAGCGCACAAGUAGAGUGAUCGAAAGAUGAAAAGCACUUUGAAAAGAGAGUUAAACAGCACGUGAAAUUGUUGAAAGGGAAGCGCUUGCGACCAGACUCGCCCGCGGGGUUCAGCCGGCAUUCGUGCCGGUGUACUUCCCCGUGGGCGGGCCAGCGUCGGUUUGGGCGGCCGGUCAAAGGCCCCUGGAAUGUAGUACCCUCCGGGGUACCUUAUAGCCAGGGGUGCAAUGCGGCCAGCCUGGACCGAGGAACGCGCUUCGGCACGGACGCUGGCAUAAUGGUCGUAAACGACCCGUCUUGAAAACCGGGACCAAA